rnacentral:SRP_RNA from 1 species
CGCCAGGAUUGGCGGAGUUGAAGGCUUGCGAACCCCGCCAGGGCCGAAAGGCAGCAACGGUACCAUGACCUCGACGGCCGUCAGUCCUGGUCUUU